rfam:Achromatium sp. WMS2 contig-183_296, whole genome shotgun sequence.
CCUGGCGACUAGAGUAUUGGAGCCACCUGAUCCCAUCCCAGAACUUAAGAAGUGAAACGGUGCCUCGCUGAUGAUAGUGUGGGAGAUCAUACGCGAAAGUAGGUUAUUGCUAGGU